ACCCCUCCCCUAGAAGAUAGAUAGGAUAACUAACCGCUUGUUUGCUUUUCUGUAAACCGCUGGCUUUUAGGUAUAGACCAGGUUAUUAAUUAGGUUAUUAAUUGCUUAUUAAUCGCUCUUUUGCCCUUCUGUAACCGCUUGGCUUAUAGAAAUAAUAGAAGGUAGGCAUUCCUACCUUCCCCCUUCUUGUUCCCCCUCCCUGCCUCUCUCCUCCCGCGCGCGGGCCCUCAGAACCAAUCAGCCUGUUCCCCCUUCCCGCCUCUCUCUUCGCGCGUGCGCGCGGGUCCCCAAAGCCAAUCAGCAAACUCCACGUAUGCCUUUUUCAAAAGUUCUAACUGUCAACCAAUCAGUUGCGCCCCACCCAAAACUUGUUUGUACCUGUCUAUAAAAACCCGGCACCACCCCAGCCGGGUGUGCUCAGCUAGCAGGAGCUGCUGACCACCCGCAGGCGCCUGCGUAACAAUAAAGAACCUCUUGCUGAUUGCAUCCAGUGGCAGUGUUGGAUUCUUGGGUAAGGGGAUCCGCGGGUCUUUCAUUUGGAGGUUCCACCGAGAUCAUCGGACUCCUGCCCACGGAUCCAACUGACUCCCACCGGGAGGUAAGCUGGCCAGCAUUCUUGUCUCCUGUCUCAUGUUCUCGUUUGUAUCCAGUCUCGUGUUCUUGUUUGUCUCUAGUCUUGUGAGGCCUCUGUUUGGACCUAUACUGCGGUUAGCGGUAUAGUGUUUGUACAACAGCGUGCGUUGUUGGAUUGUAUUUGUAGGCAGCUUGAGAAGGAGCUGACGAGCUCGGACUUCUCCCCUGCCAACUCUGGGGGACGCUCCAGGGUGUCGAGGGGCCCAAUUUUUUGGAGCCCCUCAUUUGUCCGAGGGUUAUAUCCGUUUGUCCGUUCCAGAGGAACCCCUCGGCCCUGGACGGAAUUUGUCCACCGCAGGGAGAUCUCGAGGCUCCUCUGGGCCGGUGGAAACCUUGCUUUCGGUAGCAUACCGAAACCGCGCAGCGACCUUUUUGUUAAUUGUUUUGUGUGUUCUACUCGUUGUCCUUGGUGUUUUCUUUGAGUCUAAAAUGGGGCUUCUCCCUCAUUCACUUCCCGUGUUAAUGGCUAUAACUGGAGCCAACUGGGGUUAGUCUCACUCGAGACAGAGACUAUAAGGAAUAUUCCCAAGCAGCUGCCGAAACUCUCUUUGUUUCGGGGAAGUUUCCUUGUGUUCUCUGGCCUGACUUAGACUGCUUAACCCCUCCCACCUUGCUGGUGGGAAAGCAUGGUGUCUGCUCCUCUGUUGGGGCUUAGGAGCUCCAAAACUGGGAAUCCUUUCUCUGCCUCCUGGCGGCACUUUGUUUCUUCUGUUUCCCCCUUACGUGUUUCUGUACCAACGUGUGUGCAGCCUGCAUGACUGGCCUCUAGAUCAUGCACCACAGCUCCUUCUCUCUCCACUGUCAAGGAGCAAGAACAACACCCCCUGGACCUAACACCUCCCCACUCCAGAUCUUCCCACGCAUGCCUCAGGUUAGUACAGUUCAUUAAAGAUCGCCUGUCUGUUGUUCAGACUAUGGUACUGACACAGCGAUACCAACUCCUCAAACAAACAGAGCCCCGGACUAGCUCAAUGCAAGGGCAGGACAUGCAAGAACAAGAUGAACGGAUAGAAGAUUCUAUCCAUGAUAAAGAAAAAGGGGGGAAUGAAAGACCCCUCCCCUAGAAGAUAGAUAGGAUAACUAACCGCUUGUUUGCUUUUCUGUAAACCGCUGGCUUUUAGGUAUAGACCAGGUUAUUAAUUAGGUUAUUAAUUGCUUAUUAAUCGCUCUUUUGCCCUUCUGUAACCGCUUGGCUUAUAGGAAUAAUAGAAGGUAGGCAUUCCUACCUUCCCCCUUCUUGUUCCCCCUCCCUGCCUCUCUCCUCCCGCGCGCGGGCCCUCAGAACCAAUCAGCCUGUUCCCCCUUCCCGCCUCUCUCUUCGCGCGCGUGGGUCCCCAAAGCCAAUCAGCAAACUCCACGUAUGCCUUUUUCAAAAGUUCUAACUGUCAACCAAUCAGUUGCGCCCCACCCAAAACUUGUUUGUACCUGUCUAUAAAAACCCGGCACCACCCCAGCCGGGUGUGCUCAGCUAGCAGGAGCUGCUGACCACCCGCAGGCGCCUGCGUAACAAUAAAGAACCUCUUGCUGAUUGCA